AAUGCUCUCCCCGGCUGUUCCCACCUCCUAUAACCUCCGAUCCAGUACCAGCACUUUAUUUAGUCUACCUCAAUACAAAAAGAAAGCAGCCCGAUCCUCCUUUUCCUACAAAGCACCGCAAUUAUGGAACGACCUCCUGCACAAUUUCAAAUCUUCCCUAAGCCUAAAGUCCUUUAAGAGAUCCCUCUCUACAUACCUCAAAAAACAGGAUGCACAUCUCAUGGUUGAUUAUAUAUUUCUUACCUGUUCUAUGUUAAAUUUUGUAUAUAUUGUGUAUUACUAUUUUA